UAGGGAAUAUUGCAAAAUGGGCGAAAGCCCGAUGCAGCAACGCCGCGUGGGCGAUGAAGGCCUUCGGGUCGUAAAGCCCUUUUUGAGGGGAUGAGGAAGGACAGUACCCUCAGAAUAAGCCUCGGCUAACUACGUGCCAGCAGCCGCGGUAAAACGUAGGAGGCGAGCGUUAUCCGGAUUUACUGGGCGUAAAGCGCGUGCAGGCGGAUUGGAGAGUUGGAUGUGAAAGCUCCCGGCUUAACUGGGAGAGGUCGUUCAAUACUUCCAGUCUUGAGUGCAGUAGAGGGCAGUGGAAUUCCAGGUGUAGUGGUGAAAUGCGUAGAUAUCCGGAGGAACACCAGUGGCGAAAGCGGCUUCCUGGACUGUAACUGACGCUCAGACGCGAAAGCUAGGGUAGCAAACG
rnacentral:rRNA from 1 species